rnacentral:misc_RNA from 1 species
AGAAGAGAGCGGGGAGAGGAGAAUUUGUUUUUGUUUUAACGUAGGGGCAAUGGGGUAAUUUCCCUACUACCAUUUUGCCCCAAUAAUCUGGGUCAAUCAGUCAAAUUUCCCAAGGUACCUGACUACGCGUAUCUGCCGUUUGAGUCCGAGACGACGGGAAGAGUCGGAGAGAGUAGACAAAGGGAAAAGGAAUAGAUCGUCGGGAGCUUGGAUGAAUU